rnacentral:tRNA from 2 species
GGAGGGAUGGCCGAGUGGACUAUGGCGACGGCCUUGAAAGCCGUUGUGGCCGUAAGGUCACCGGGGGUUCGAAUCCCUCUCCCUCCGCCA